CGCCAUGGAGCCAGCCACCAGGUCAGACAUGCUGAAUCUUUCCCGAUGUAGGAAGCAUGACCGGUCUCCCCCUCCUGCGAGCAUGCUUUCCUCACCACGAUGGACUGUAUCCCCUUGAACCGUGAGCCAAAAUGAAUGCUCCUGCUCUUAUUGCUUCUGGUGUCACAGCACUGAAGAAAGUACAAGAGAAGAAAAACUCCCUUGUGUUGUUAAUCCCAUCUUGGUGCCUCCUUCUUGGAGAACCUGAGCUAAUCUCUCCAGUAUCUGCAUGAUGCCUCAUCUCCUUAUGCAAGCCUUUGACUAAGGGUCCUUUGCCAUCCAAAAAAAAAAAAAAUACAAUCAUCCAACCUGG